rnacentral:rRNA from 1 species
CACGUAGGGGGCGAGCGUUGUCCGGAAUCAUUGGGCGUAAAGAGCUCGUAGGCGGCUCGGUAAGUCGGGUGUGAAACCCCCCAGGCUCAACCUGGGGACGCCACCCGAUACUGCUGUGGCUAGAGUCCAGUAGGGGAGUGUGGAAUUCCCGGUGUAGUGGUGGAAUGCGUAGAUAUCGGGGGGGAAUACCAGUGGCGAAAGCGGCACCCUGGCGUCGUACUGACGCUCAUGUGCGAAAGCGCGGGGAGCGAACGGG